ensembl:lncRNA
GCAACAGAUUGAACAAAUGCAAGAAGAACUGCAGCAGGAGGAGGUCAGCUUCAGACACCAGGUGACCCGCCUCCACCCAAGUUACUGAGCACCUCAGGCGCUGAAGAGGGGUCCUUAGAUUCCCAAUCCUGGGGAGUUUAUUCAUGUGUUGCCUUUUUCAGAUUUCUCUUCUUGAGAAGAAGGCUCAGGACAACUGGGUAAUUCUUUUUUUUCUUUCUCUCCUUCGUGUUGUCAUUCCCACAACUGAACUUGGGUGUGCUUUUCCUCCCACAGAUCAAGGGUCGGAUUUUGGAGAGAGAGAUGGCAGAGCAGAGCAAGGAAGCCGCCUACUUGAGACACAAGUCAGUAUGGAUGCAAGAGGGCGCUUUCCUUUCCCAUGACCACCCUGCAUGCCCUACCCCAUGGGCUGCCCUUUAUCACCACUCAAGGGCUGUGGGCCUCUUCCACCUCCUCCACCCUGGCUUCCUCUGGGACCCCACCCAAUGCCUCCACAUCUUUAAGAUGGUAAGAUGAUCUGAAGAGUAUGCUAAUUUGUGAAGCAUGUUCAUUUAUUUUUCUUUUGAGUUUUUAGUGGCAAUGCAGAUAUGUAUACUGAUGGCUUUGUAAUGCAAAGACAAACCUGACUGAGGUCAUUGUAACAUUUAUGCCUCAAGUUUCUUAGGACAUGCAUAUGAUGGACUGGUCUUCACAUGUACUGAUGGGCUGGUCACCCAAACUGAGCUGGGCAUCAGGUGUUCCUUGCAGAGAAGAAAAGAGGCUUUUUAGAGAAUGAGAGAAAUACCAGUUUUGCAGAGUCGCCUCAUACAGAAACCACUUGUUGGGUUCUGUGAAACGUAAGACACAUGCCUAAUUUCAAGAAUUAAAAUAUCCCCUGAGAGAAACAGAAGAGAGAGAUAAAUGAUACAUAAGUGACCCAGAACUUGUGAUCAUCGUAACAGAAGCACCAGUUCAAGGCCCUAGAGUGCAAAAGAGGAAUCUGUGAGUCACACAGGAAUACAUAGGAUGUUUUAGAAGAAAAAGUAAAAAGUGAGGUGCUGUCACUUAGAUGGAACUGGAAGGCCGUUCCCAGCAGGGCAAACAGUUUGGGCAGGAACUCUGAAGGCAGUAAGAUGUGCACACGGGGCCGCUGUGUGCUGAAAUGACACAGUGCUGGCGAUGCAUUAUCCCCUUUAGAUGCCAUUGUUGCCGUAAAGCCCUUAGAUAAUGUCUCAUUCGGAUUAUUGUUUUCACUGCAUUUCUGAAAGUUCUGGUUAUGGGUGAAAGAAGGCUCUGGAUAAACAGGGAUGUUUAACUUGGUUCUUUCAGAAUAUUUUGUGGGGCUGAAGUUUGGUUUUUUUUUUUUGUUUUUUUUUGGUCCAAUGAUUUGAAAAUGCAGUCAGGAUCUAGAUGAGCUGAAUAGCUGCCUUGGCCUUCAACAUAAGGCAGGUUCUUCCCAGGGAAUUCAAGGUUGAUCCAGGGCCACUCCUGCAGGACCCCUGUCACCACAUCCUUGCAUCCUCUAGUCUCCACCCCUGACUGUCAGCUUUGCAUCUCCCGCAUUUUCCUCACAGUAUAUUGUACAUGAUUCUUUGCUUGUAUACCUGUUGUUCAGUCCCUAAUACUCAGUGGGACCUAGACAGAGUGUGAGCUUUUUAUCAUUAAAACAGGGAUAAUAUUGAUUUCUGAUGUCAUCGUGAGAAAGAUGAGAUCAAGUACAUAUAGAAUUUUGCAGACUGGCUGAGACGUGUUUGUCGCUCACUGCUCUUGUAGUUUAAAAGAAAAUGUCUACACACAGAAUCAUCAAAGAUAUUCUGGAAAAUACAUUAAAUUAACCUAAGGAUAUACGCCCUGAGGCCUAGAGCUUAGUAAUCUGUGCUUUAAAAGACAAGGCAAAGACACUCUUUCCCUUGUAAAAAUUCAUGUCCUACUAGUUAAAAAAGAAAGUAAGAGAGUGUGUACAUUCAGAGAUCUGAUAAGAAUUGUUUUCAUUAUGUAUAGAGUCAUAGAUGCAGCCACACAGUAAAGUGUUCAUCAGAGAUCACAGAUGUGUUAGAGAAGGCAAAAUGCGUGUAGGGAAAAUUCAGAUUACAUUGAAAUAAAUCAGAAUGUCUUUCCCUUAUAGGAGAACCA